GCAGUUUUGGUGCAACGGGCCGAACUUCAAUCUUGGGCCUGCACCCCGGACCCCGGAUUAUUUGAAGACCAGAGAAGAUACCAAAGAGAAGACCAUUAGAAUAUACUUUUGAGUGAGCAGCUCCAUCACUGUCAUCAUGAAAAGGCUCAGAAGGGAUGUGUCCCCAUGAUGUUUAUUUGAAGAAGGCUGUGAAUGUGAGGCUAAAGUAG
rnacentral:lncRNA from 1 species